UUGCUUAUUUCUCCUAACUCAUAUUUUUACUUAAGCGUCAGAGUCUUUUGUUUUGCAAGUAUCCCUCCUGUUCUCUUGAUAAAGACACCUCUCAAAAUCAACAUGUGAAAUCCAUAGUCCUCUUCGGUCACGUCCACCCUGACAUGUGUUAAGUCUAAAUUUUGAUUAAAACAUUACCUAUAUACCAUUGUCAAAUAGUCAUUUAAAUUAUGUUAUAUUGAUGCAAGUCAAUAUAUUUAUUACACGCAAAGGCAGAAGCAAUACAUAAUUAUAGCAAGCGCUUGAAAAGGUCAAAUAAGAAAGAUAAAAAAAAAGGAGAAAAAUAAUGUUAACUUGAAAGGUUGGGCCCAAGUGCCGAACGAUAGGAAUCUCAUCGAUAAUUUGUGUUGAUAAUUUAAGAUUAAUGUCAUAAGGAGGCAACAUGACAAUAAUUUUUUUAAAAAAUCUUUUAUGGCCAACAUUUUCUUCUCUUACAGUAAAAGAUAUUUAAAUAAACUCAUUUUAGCUUAAUAACUAGCUUUUAAUUUUGUUUGUGCCUUAUCUAUAUUAUUGAGUGUACGACAUCACAUUUCCCACUCUACUACAGCUACCUACGUUUUUUUUUUUUUUUUUUGUUGAUACAGGAUUACAGGUACUUACGGUUGUGAAACAACUUUCAUUAUAAACUCAAAAUUACAUUCUUUACAGGCAUGCUAUAAAUUCUAUUUAGCAUUCAAUCGGCACAUAAACCUAUCUAAAACUUAAUUUAGCGUUAAGGAUAACGACGAUUAAGAAUGAGUAGCUCAAGUUUCAGAUCAAAUCAAUACUUCAUUUAUUUUUGAGAAUCAGGCCGAAUGAAUACUAACCCAUCCAAAAUGUCGUUAAAUUAUUCUCUAACCAAGGAAAAUAUUGGAUAAGAAGGUUAAUUAUGUAAUUUUUUUUCAAAAAAAAUCUAUAUAAGUUGCACAUACUGUAAUGUAUAAUCCAACAAAUUGGAAACAUCCUUUGUUAUAAUGAUUCUUUUAAUGUUUUUAACAAGAAGCAUUUUGGAAGAUUAGUUUAAUGUGUAUUUGAUUGUGGUUUUGACAUUAUAUCUCUGUUUUGUUAUGUCAAACAUUUUUUUUAUAGACCUUGUUAUGUCAAGCAUAAUAACUCCACAAAGGAAUUCGAGUUCAAUACUUAAGCACAAUCAUACUUGCUCUUCAAGGAAACUGAGGGCGACAAAGGAAUAUAUUAUUAUUAUUAUUAUACAUUUGGUGUAUAGCUUUUAUGUUCCUCAAUUGACACAAAGUACUACAAUAGUUUUCUCUAUUUUUAUCAUUCUAAUUUAAUAAAACUACUAAUUAAUUUACGCGCCGGCGUAGAUUUCUUUUUUCUCUUUUUAGGUUUCACUAGAUCAAUCAAAAUGAAAGCCUCUGUUUUGAAAGGAUGAUUCUUCAUUCUUAAGAAUAAAUUUUUCUAAAAUGUUAUUUGAAUAAAUUGUAUUUGAAAAUUUAUUGUACUCAUGUUUAGUAAUUCUGAAAGAAAAAUGUUAGAAAUAAAUUCUUUAACAUGUUAUUUUUUUAAUCAUCCACUAAAAUCCAUUAAGAAUCACAAAAUACUUUGUAGCUCAUGUUCUCUAUUUAAUAAGUCUUGUUCAAAACAUUUUUAUUUUCUAAUAAUUUUUUUUGGCUUACACGGCCCCUAAUGCCAUUUUCUAAUAAAUUUUAAUUAAUAAUAAAGAAUGUGUUAAAAAAAAAGAGCAUUCUUAACUAACAUUUCUCUUUUGAAAAAAAAAAUCAUCAAUUUGAUUUAAAAAAAUCAAAAUAAAUUAAUAAUCAAAUUAACGUCUUAAAAACUUAAAUCAACUUUAUAUCACUAUGGAGAUUAGUUUAAUUGGUUAAACAAAUUAUAUGAAUGUUACAAAUCUCUCCUGUACUCAAUUUCUAUGGAUAAAAAAAAUUAUCUUUAUAUUAGUCUUCUUAAAAUUUUGUGACUAAAAUUGUUUGUCAAGAAUUUAAUCUAUCACCAAAUUAAUCUUUCAAAAAUCUAAAAUGUCCUUAUAUUAGUCCUUAUAGAUGAUUAAAGUAGUGACAUAAAAGAAUUCUUGAAAGAUUAAUUUAAUAAUGUACUAAUUUUAUGGUAAUUAAUUUUAUGACUACAUCUUUAAAAGCUAAAAUAGUGACAAAAAAGUUGGUUAUUUUUUAAAAAGAAUAAUGUUGUAAAACAAGUAGCUAGUAUGUUUUGUGGCUUAAAUAUUUUUUUUAAAAAAAGCUAAUCACAGGACAAAAAAUACAUGUAAAACUAAAUAAAAAUGUCUUUUUUUUCCUCCUACUAUAACUGUGCAUAUAAAAGUAUAAAACUACUAUUUAUUUUGUUAAACUCAAUUAUUAUUAAAUCACUGAUUACAAAUUUUAUUUAAUGCAAUGAUUUUUAAGUCAAAAAAUAAUUAUUAAACUAUACAUUGUCCGGAAUCAUUUUCACGUAUACCACAUAAUAAUUUUAUAGAAUAUAAUGUUAAGACAACUCCGAUAGUAGAUUCAACGUGUUUUAGUGGGACAAUUAUUNNNNNNNNNNNNNNNNNNNNNNNNNNNNNNNNNNNNNNNNNNNNNNNNNNNNNNNNNNNNNNNNNNNNNNNNNNNNNNNNNNNNNNNNNNNNNNNNNNNNACGCUGCGCGUAAUAUUUAUUAUAUUUUUAAAUAAAUCAUAAUUUUUUUAUUUUAUAUUUUUUAAUUACUUCAAUAACUAGUCUGAACACUUAUAAUUUAAUGAGAUAACUUUUCAAUUUUUAAUUAAUUUUCCACUAAUUUUAUUAACCACAAUCAUAACCAAUCCAUGUUAAAUUCAAUUUUCAAAAAAUACAAUCUUAAUAAGAAAUUAAAAUAGAAGAUUUUGAAUGUGACUUAACUUUAAACCAAAACUCCUAAGAAUAUCUCAAUCAACUCCCACAAAAGAAUCAAAAGCCCUAAUUACCAUGUUUUGAAAAAAAAAAAAAAACAAUGUACAAAUGAUUAAAUUAAUUGAAGGAAAUUUAUACAAUUGGAGAGUUUAGUUUAGGAAGUACCUGUUACUCCAAGUAUAUUAUCUGUCCAUCGUAAAGAGUUUGCUAGUUGCUACGUU
rnacentral:lncRNA from 1 species